UAGGGAGACCUAAUCCAUUUAGAAAUCGAAAACAAUGAAAAUUGUCAAUAGAAACUAAAUUGGUCUAACCUAGGUCGUUCGAGAUUGGUAGACAUCUUUCAAAGUAUUAUUCGGCUUCGUUCAAAACCAUAUAUAAUAAAUGGAAAAAGACAGCACCUAAUUGUCAAAGUUAGACUGCUGGAUGAAAUUCCAGCCAGAACCUCGAAAACUGCAUAAGAGAACAAGAAAAAGCAGGCAGACACAGACAUUUCGAUGGAUGUGAAAGCAAAAGAAAUUGU
rnacentral:misc_RNA from 1 species